CAAUAGCGUAUAUUAAAGUUGUUGCAGUUAAAAAGCUCGUAGUUGGAUUUCUGGCAGGGGGUAGCAGCCCGCUUGCAGCGUGGCCUUGCAAUCCCCUACCAUCCUUCUGUUAACGCGCCAGGGCAUUCACUUGUCGGGCGCGGGCUCAGAUAAUUUACCUUGAGAAAAUUAGAGUGUUUCAGGCAGGCUCGCGCCGGGAUACAUUAGCAUGGAAUAAUAGAAUAGGACUAUGGUCUCUUUGUUGGUUUGAGGGACUAUGGUAAUGAUUAAUAGGGAUAGUUGGGGGCAUUAGUAUUUAAUUGUCAGAGGUGGAAUUCUCAGAUUUGUUAAAGACUAACUUAUGCGAAAGCAUUUGCCAAGGAUGUUUUCAUUGAUCAAGAACGAAAGUUAGGGGAUCGAAGAUGAUUAGAUACCAU
rnacentral:rRNA from 1 species